GAUGAAGAACGCAGCGAAAUGCGAUACUUGGUGUGAAUUGCAGAAUCCCGUGAACCAUCGAGUCUUUGAACGCAAGUUGCGCCCGAAGCCAUUAGGCCGAGGGCACGCCUGCCUGGGCGUCACACGUCGUUGCCCCCCCAUCUACUCCUUCGGGAUUGCGGGGGGCGGAUGAUGGCCUCCCGUGCGCCUCGCCGCGCGGUUGGCAUAAAUGCCAAGUCCUCGGCGACGCACGCCACGACAAUCGGUGGUUGCGAAACCUCGGUUGCCCGUCGUGUGCGGUCGUCGCGCAUCGAGGGCUCGAAAAAAUUGCCGGGUUCCGGCUCGGCUUUCAACGCGACCCCAGGUCAGGCGGGGUUACCCGCUGAAUUUAAGCAUAUCGAUAAGCGGAGGA
rnacentral:misc_RNA from 1 species